GUGGGGAUAGCCAAGUGGCCAACGGCGGCAGACUCAAGAUCUGUUCCUUAGUGGUUCGGGAGUUCGAAUCUCCCUCCCCGCACCA
rnacentral:tRNA from 1 species